ensembl:snRNA U6 U6 spliceosomal RNA
GUGCUCACUUAGGCAGCAAAUAUAUCAAAAUUGGAACAAUACAGAGAAAAUUAGCACGAUCCCUUCUUAAGGAUGACAUGAAAAUUUAUGUAGCGUUCCAUAUUUUU